rnacentral:tRNA from 1 species
GGGCCUGUAGCUCAACCGGGAGAGCAAGGGAUUUAAAAUCCCUUGGUCGCGGGUUCGAAUCCCGUCGGGUCCA